AGUUGGUAGUCUCCAUUCCCAAUUAAAUUUCGUCCUAUCAUUUUCGUCCGGCUUUUUUCGUUGGUUUUUUUUUCGUCAGGUUUUUUUUCGUCCGGUGCUCCCUGUUGGUUUUCCCCCUCAGCAUCGCUCGAGCAAACUCCUCCCUCUUCCUCGGUCUCGCCUCUCCUAUCGCUCGAUGACGCUCGGUCCUCUCUAGGGUUCCUCGCCCGCCGCCGUCCCCCGCCUCCCUGCUCCGCUGUUGCCCCUCCCUCCGCCUGCCUCGCCCCUGCUCUAGGGUUUGCCGCCCGCCGCCCUGCUCCACUGUUGCCCGUCCCUCUGCCUGCCUCACCCCCCUCCCCUACACUAACCCCUGCCCGAUCUGGAUCUGGAUGAUGGAGCUCGCACUGGACCACGCUGGUCUACCUGCUGGCAUGCUCCAUGGAGGCCGUGGCAAGCAGCCGCGACUGGAGUGUGCCCGUCGAGGCGCCGUCGCAGAUGUGGUGGCUGCACGUCGGAAACACUUUCCAGGAGGACAACAGCCGCGGCGGCCUGGACCUGCACCUGCACACGUCAGCCUGCUCCUACGACUGGCUACAACUGGAAGAAGAAGUUGGACCUUUCGUUCAAACUUAUUGUCAAGUUUCAGCAGAUGGCAAUUGAACUCGACAUGAGAGGAGUAGCAUGCCGGAGAUGCUCCGUGAAGAGACUGUCCGAUCAGUGGAACAGACCUGCAGACUUCCUUGAGAAAAAUUCAAGCUAUACCAACAAGAGGAAUAGCUUCGAAGGGGCACAAGUACGGCCAUAUUUUCUGUUUGACAGCGUGGUGAAGGUCGAUGCCUUGAAUGGAUCAGCGAUGCGGUGAUCUUGCGAGGGGCACAAGUUCAUUGGGGAGCCGAUCUUCAUCCCCACUAGCGGUGGGGAGGAUCGUGGCUAUGUUCUUCUUGUAGAGUAUACAGUCUCUGAGGAUAAAUGACCUGGUGGUGUUGGAUGCAAGAAAGAUAGGGAAAAGAGGAGCUGAAGUAUCUUCUCAAGGAACUCCUUGAUCUUGGCCUAGGUGUUCUCCAGGACCAAUGGCAUCAUUCCAAGAGGAGCACCAAAUCUCCUGUCGGGGGUUGGGUGCGACAUAUGCCAAUGGAUGGCUUAUCAUGGUGGGAGCGAGUAGAACGUCGCCGGUGUCUGGAAGCGGGAUAAGGCAUAGACACGAACGCCGGUGCACUUUACCCAGGUUCGGGGCUCUCCUAGGAGAUAAUACCCCUAGUCCUGCUCUGCGGGGUCUCCGCAUGAUCACUAAGGCACAAGUGGUACAAUGGUGAUUCUCGAGUUGUUUGCUAGAGGUAGGAGAAGGCAAGGCUAGCUCUCUCCUUUCUCUAUGGGUUGGUCUAGUUCUAACUGUUGGGGAACGUUGCAGAAAAUUAAAA